CUUCUCCCCCACCCCCCUCCACCCCAGGCGCGCUUCUGCUCCUGAUUUACCGGCCUCCAGUUUUGACGUCCAACAGGCUAAAUCUAACAAUUCAGCCAACAGUGUGGUGUAUUGGGAAGCUUGCUCAGGACCUGAGUUCAAAUCUUGGCUCUACUGUUUACAAGCUGUAUGUGUGAUGUUGGCCAAACCAUCUCAACCCACUGGUCUUCAAUUUCGUCAUCUAGCUACCCACUGCCUAUCACCUGAUCUUGCUGUGGCCUUGAGGAGGGACUUUGGGUAAGACAUUGUUUGUCUUUGACUCCCUGAAACCACAGGAGAGAUAACGGUGGUCUGGCCAGAAGAGGCAGAAUGCUCUCUGGACUCAGAGGUCAAGGUCCUCCCUGGAAGCUCAACUCUGUGUCUCUGCUCAGUCCUGGAAGCCAAGCCUUUGAGCCCUCUCCCUGCCUGGAACGCCUUGUCCUGCUCACCCUGUUCUUCCAACCUUCAAUACUCUAUCUUCUCAGUAACUCCUUUGAAGCUGGGUGAGGGACUUUUGUAUCAGUUUCUUAGCUCUCCUAGACUCAUAGCCUGGCUGGGUCAGCUUAGAAGUAACUAGGAAAUCCCUUCCCCUCUCUAGGCCUCCAUUUUCUCAUUUGUAAAACGAGGGGGAAAGUUGAAUUAGAUGCCUGCUAAGGUCAGUUUCCACUCUGGUUUUCUGUGAUCACAUAAUUUGUUCCAUGUUUCUUUCCUUUGAAAGGGGUUUGUCUCCUGGGAAUCUGAAGACAGGGAACAAAUCCCCUAAUCUCCAUGAUCAUCUUCCUUGACUCUUAACUGGACCCUGUUUACUAACCAGAUUAAAUGUUUGGAAAACUUUUUACCCUGGAGGGCCUGAAUUCAGUUACACUGAUUCAAUGAAGCAACCAUGUAUUCAGAAUCUACUGAAGGGGGAAAUUUUGUCCAUGUAAAAAUAUAUAUCAAUAAAAUUUUAAAAAUAUGUUUUUAAAAUAAAAGAGCUUAUACUGAGUUAUAGGAUGUCGGCUCAGUCCUGGAACUCUUGCUUCUUUCCUUGGGACCUGGGGCAAUCCACUUAAUAUUUUAAGGCCUGCUUUUCCUCUUUUGUGAAAGAAUGAAUGAAAAAAUAUUUAAUAGGGGUUUACUAUGUGUCAAGACCAGUGUGUCAUAGAAUGAAGAGCUCGGGUUUGAAAACAUCUGAGGUCCCUUCCGACACUAAAUCUGAGUCACCCAUGAUUCUACUAAAAGGGACUUUGGGGAACACAAGGUAAAUGAGGCACCUGCCCUCCCUGCAGUGUUUUUCAGUCCAGUAAGGAGGAAGGUUACUACAUUUCUAAAUUAUAGGAUAAAGACUUUCCCUAAAGGGCUCAAUGCUGGAUUGGAGAGGUGAAUUAAGGCAAUUGAGGUCUUUUGAAUGCCUUCAAGUUACAGAUUAUCUACCUUCUCUGAUGGAAAGGAAUCACAGAAAGUUAGAGCUGGAAGGAAUCUUUGAAUAUAGACUGUUGGAAUUGAGAGGGCCCAUACAGCAGAGACAGAACGCAAAAUGUCAGAGCUGGGAUAGACCUUGAUCACAGAGUGUCAGCGCCUAGAGUGGCUUCAGAACAUAACAUGUAGAAUAUAGAAUUUUAGAGCUGGAGAAUAUAGAGACAGAAUAUCAGCUGGCAGAGACUUUAGAAUAUAGAAUGGACAUGGAGAGUGGAGAAAGGCCAUGGGAUGUAGUGAAUAGAACCCUAGAUUCUGUCAGGAGAUUCUAAUGUCAGUUUCAGCUCUAAGACUUGUACUCUGUGGCCACAGAAGGGUCAUUUGACCUUGCUAAGCAUCAGACAGAUUUGAAUAUUUCAAAAUCCAAAACCUUCUUUCUUAUACCAGCUAACAGAAUUGCUCUGCUCUUACUGUCAAAAUCAUCUCCUAAUUCACCUAGAUAUAAAUAUUAGCAAUGCUUUUAAAAAGACACUUUCAUAAACCUCA